rnacentral:rRNA from 1 species
UACAGAGGGUGCGAGCGUUUGUUCGGAAUUAUUGGGCGUAAAGCGCUUGUAGGCGGCACGUCAAGUCGCGUGUGAAAUCCCCCAGGCUUAACCUGGGGAAGUGCGCGCGAAACUGACGAGCUUGAGUGCCGGAGAGGGUCGCGGAAUUCCCGGUGUAGAGGUGAAAUUCGUAGAUAUCGGGAGGAACACCAGUGGCGAAGGCGGCGACCCUGGACGGACACGUGACGCUGAGACGGAC